rfam:Epulopiscium sp. AS2M-Bin002 AS2M_MBin02_220, whole genome shotgun sequence.
AAAUCCUUUAAGAUAGUCCGAGAGGCUAACAAGGAUAUGCAGAUGAUAGGUAAUUAUUUAUCUAUUAUUUAUCAUAAAUAUAUUUUAUUUAUGUGUAUAUUCUAGUGUGCUUCUUGCGAUAUUGCAAGAAGUUUUUUUU